UUCAUGGGCGGGGUGGGGUGGGGUCAGGAGCCUGCUGUGGGCUGGCCAGGCCCCGGCCCUCCCUGUCCCACCCUGCGCUGCCUCCACGCACCUCUCAGGGCCGUCAUGGCUUUUCCUGUGGCUUCUGACAGGUAGAGUCAGCGAUGACGGCUUCAUAGCCAUUAAGCUUACGGCACUGGGGAGACCCCAGUUUCUGCUGCAGUUCUCAGAGGUGCUGGCCAAGUGGAGGUGCUUCUUUCACCAAAUGGCUGUGGAGCAAGGGCAGGCGGGCCUGGCUGCCAUGGACACCAAGCUGGAGGUGGCAGUGCUGCAGGAAAGUGUCGCAAAGAUGGGCAUCGCAUCCAGGGCUGAGAUUGAGGACUGGUUCACAGCGGAGACCCUGGGAGUGUCUGGGUGAGAGCAGCCCCCAGGCUGAGAGGACAUGAGCAUCAGCCAUGGUUCCAGCCAAGCCCCAGCGACGUCUCCCAGUCCU
rnacentral:sRNA from 1 species